rnacentral:rRNA from 1 species
GACGAACGCUGGCGGCGUGCCUAAUACAUGCAAGUAGAACGCUGAAGGAGGAGCUUGCUUCUCUGGAUGAGUUGCGAACGGGUGAGUAACGCGUAGGUAACCUGCCUGGUAGCGGGGGACAACUAUUGGAAACGAUAGCUAAUACCGCAUAACAGUAGAUAUCGCAUGAUAUCUACUUGAAAGGUGCAAUUGCAUCACUACCAGAUGGACCUGCGUUGUAUUAGCUAGUUGGUGAGGUAACGGCUCACCAAGGCGACGAUACAUAGCCGACCUGAGAGGGUGAUCGGCCACACUGGGACUGAGACACGGCCCAGACUCCUACGGGAGGCAGCAGUAGGGAAUCUUCGGCAAUGGACGGAAGUCUGACCGAGCAACGCCGCGUGAGUGAAGAAGGUUUUCGGAUCGUAAAGCUCUGUUGUAAGAGAAGAACGAGUGUGAGAGUGGAAAGUUCACACUGUGACGGUAUCUUACCAGAAAGGGACGGCUAACUACGUG